rnacentral:rRNA from 1 species
CCUACGGGAGGCAGCAGUAGGGAAUCUUCCGCAAUGGGCGCAAGCCUGACGGAGCAACGCCGCGUGAGUGAUGAAGGCCUUCGGGUUGUAAAACUCUGUCUUCUGUGAAGAACCAUCCUGUGCAGAGAAAGCUCAGGACCUGACGGUAACAGAGGAGGAAGCCCCGGCUAACUACGUGCCAGCAGCCGCGGUAAUACGUAGGGGGCAAGCGUUGUCCGGAUUCACUGGGCGUAAAGCGCGCGCAGGCGGUCUCUCACGUCCGGGGUGAAAGCCCAGAGCUCAACUCUGGGAUUGCCUUGGAUACGGGGAGACUUGAGGAUCGGAGAGGCAAGGGGAAUUCCACGUGUAGCGGUGAAAUGCGUAGAGAUGUGGAGGAACACCUGUGGCGAAGGCGCCUUGCUGGCCGAUUUCUGACGCUGAGGCGCGAAAGCGUGGGGAGCAAACAGGAUUAGAUACCCUGGUAGUCCACGCCGUAAACGAUGAGUGCUAGGUGUUAGGGGGCCACCCCGUUAGUGCCGAAGCUAACGCAUUAAGCACNCCGCCGNGGAGGUACGGUCGCGAGACGAGAACGUACGAAGUAGAGUUAGACGGACGUGAGACGUUGCCGACGGACGACGACGAGGGAGGUAGGG